rnacentral:lncRNA from 13 species
AGGGAAAUCAGCCCAGUUCCGCCGUCCCCCAUAAUAGCACCAGUAGGCGCGGGGCGCAUUCGGGCAGCGGCCCAGGGCAGGAGCGGGGGGAGCCCGGCGGGCCCCGCUGCCGCGACUGGCGGAGACGAGAGGCCGGCCUGGGCCCCCUCUUGUCACGGCGGGGGCUGGGCAGCGCCUCGCCGGCCCUGGCCCGGCGCUCUUCCCGCCCGCCCGCCNCCCGCCCGCCCGCCUCGCAGGCCGCGCCGGGGCCCCGGUGCCUCCGCAGGGCCUGGCACCGCCGCGGGCUCGGGGAGCCCAGCAAACAAAGGGAGCGGAGGCCGGGGCCGCAGCUCGGGAAGAGGGCGGCGGGCAAGCGGCGAACCGCACCGGCUCCAUCCGCCGGCUUCCCCUCCACCGCACCAGCUCUCCGCGGCCAGCGGUGAAGGGAGGGGGGAGCCGGGCCGCAGUGCGCCCGUUGCCCCGGGGACGCUCACCCAGCGGAGGCCGCGGCGUCCCGCUCCCGGCGCGGGCCUCUUCCCGGGCACCUCGGCGGCGCGGCCCGGCCUGCGCCGGCACUUGGGCUCGGCGGGGAGCAGCCUCCGGGGGUGGCGGAGCGGCACUCACCGAGGAGGAGGAGAAGGAGGAGCUGGCUCUGCUGUUGCUUUCGCGGGGCCCGGCUCGGCUUCGGCUCUGGCUCCCUCCCUCGCCGUGCCGCCGCCUCCCUGUUCCUGGCGCCGCCGCCGCCGCUUCCUCCGCCUCCUCUGCCCCCACCCCUCCGUCCUCGGAGGGGCGCACGGGGGCGGCGAGCCUGCGAUGGCCGCCGCCUGCCGCAGGCACGGCUACGGCUGCGGCACCCGCGCACAGCCCGGCGGCGGCAGGAGGGCCGCGGGCAUCCCCGCUCCGUCCCUCCGCCUGCCCGGCCGCCCCCGCCGCCCGGCGGACUCCACCAGCCCUCCGCGGCCCGCCUGCCCCGUAGAAGCCGAGCCCCUUCCCUUACUCGGGUCUGGGCGCCUUGCCCCGUGCUCGUUCCCGCUUGGCGGCCGUGGGAAACCCGCGGGGGGCGGCCGGGAGCCGCGCUGGAAUGGAGGCAGGGAGACGGUCGGGCUUCGCUAG